GAUGAAGAAGGCAGCGAAAUGCGAUAAGUGAUGUGAAUUGCAGAAUUCAGUGAAUCAUCGAAUCUUUGAACGCACAUUGCGCCCAUUAGUAUUCUAGUGGGCAUGCCUGUUCGAGCGUCAUUUCAACCCUUAAGCCUAGCUUAGUGUUGGGAAUCUGCUGUAUUGCAGUUCCUCAAAUACAACGGCGGAUCUGUAACAUCCUCUGAGCGUAGUAAAUUUUUAUCUCGCUUUUGUUAGGUGUUGCAGCUCUCAGCCGCUAAACCCCCCAAUUUUUGUGGUUGACCUCGGAUCAGGUAGGAAUACCCGCUGAACUUAAGCAUAUCAAUAAGCGGAGGA
rnacentral:misc_RNA from 1 species